rnacentral:misc_RNA from 1 species
AACUUUCAACAAUGGAUCACUUGGUUCUCGCAUCGAUGAAGAACGCAGCGAAAUGCGAUAAGUAAUGUGAAUUGCAGAAUUCAGUGAAUCAUCGAAUCUUUGAACGCACCUUGCGCUCCUUGGUAUUCCGAGGAGCAUGCCUGUUUGAGUGUCAUUCAACUCCUCAACCACAUUCAUCUAUUGAGUGUGGCUGGGAUGGUGGGGGUUUGUUUGCAGGCUUCUUCUGUGAAAACAGAAAGGGUCGGCUCCCCUGAAAAGUAUCAGUGGUAUCUGAGGCUAUUGCUAUAGGUGUGAUAAUUAUCUAUGCCCUUGGUAUGCCGCAUGGAACUGCUUCCAACAGAGAUGAUCUUUUUGAUGAAUUUGACCUCAAAUCAGGUAGGACUACCCGCUGAACUUAAGCAUAUCAAUAAGCGGAGGCU